GAAUAAUUCCAAUGACAAGACAUGCCACCAGCACCAGCCAGGACUUACACAUGAUCUUACAGUAAUCUAAUGUUACAUAUCAAAAGUGAAACGAUAAUGUAAAAAAAAUGACCAAGACAAGAUUAAAGAAUUUCAAUCUCUCCCCUGCCAAACGCAGCCUCAAAUCAAGUCUCACUGCAUGUUCAUAAAUUGAGAACAUAGUCUGGUGAAACCUCGAAUUGCCUUCAAAUCAAUAUCAUAUCAUUGUGGUAAAUUGCCUUCUCCGUGUGCAUACAUAUGUGUAUAUCAGCCAUUGGAGCUAGUGACUUCUAACCACAGAGCACAGAUAAUCCGAGGUAGCUUUAAAAAAUGCUACCUGUCCCUUUUGAAUUUCUUAUGUCGUAGGGAGCUAUCUGGAGUGUGAGCGUUGAACUUACGUUUUACCCCAGUUGCUUGUUUUGAUGGAGCAGCAUCCAUGUGAGAGUUUGCUUUAGCCUUUCUGGCAGCAACCGAAGGUCGUUUCACCAAGCGCUCUUUUGGUUUUUCUCCACCAUGACCUUUCUUUUGUAUAUCGGAUUUGUUUGCGCGCAGACCCUGGGGUACUAGGAGCUCGUGCAGGUGAUAGGUAUGGCCUUUUAGAUGGGGU